rnacentral:rRNA from 1 species
GAUGGGUGUGCGUCUGAUUAGGUAGUUGGUGGGGUAAAGGCUCACCAAGCCAACGAUCAGUAGCUGAUGUGAGAGCAUGAUCAGCCACACGGGCACUGAGACACGGGCCCGACUCCUACGGGAGGCAGCAGUAAGGAAUAUUGGACAAUGGGCGCAAGCCUGAUCCAGCCAUGCCGCGUGGAGGACUAAGGUCCUCUGGAUUGUAAACUUCUUUUAUAUGGGGCGAAAAAAGGCGAAUCUUCGUCACUUGACGGUACCAUAUGAAUAAGCACCGGCUAACUCCGUGCCAGCAGCCGCGGUAAUACGGAGGGUGCAAGCGUUAUCCGGAUUCACUGGGUUUAAAGGGUGCGUAGGCGGGUAUGUAAGUCAGUGGUGAAAUCUCGGGGCUUAACUCCGAAACUGCCAUUGAUACUAUAUAUCUUGAAUAUUGUUGAGGUUUGCGGAAUAUGUCAUGUAGCGGUGAAAUGCAUAGAUAUGACAUAGAACACCUAUUGCGAAGGCAGCAGGCUAAACAUAUAUUGACGCUGAGGCACGAAAGCGUGGGGAUCAAACAGGAUUAGAU